rnacentral:rRNA from 1 species
ACGAACGCUGGCGGCGUGCCUAAUACAUGCAAGUCGAACGGUCUUUCUAUGGAAGCUUGCUUCACUGAGAAGAUAGUGGCGAACGGGUGAGUAACACGUGGGUAACCUGCCCAUAAGAGGGGGAUAACAUCCGGAAACGGGUGCUAAUACCGCAUAGUUUUCUUGAUCGCAUGAUUGAGAAAGGAAAGACGGCCUUUGUGCUGUCGCUUAUGGAUGGACCCGCGGCGUAUUAGUUAGUCGGUGAGGUAAUGGCUCACCAAGACGAUGAUACGUAGCCGACCUGAGAGGGUGAUCGGCCACAUUGGGACUGAGACACGGCCCAAACUCCUACGGGAGGCAGCAGUAGGGAAUCUUCCGCAAUGGACGAAAGUCUGACGGAGCAACGCCGCGUGAGUGAAGAAAGGUUUUCGGAUCGUAAAACUCUGUUGUCAGAGAAGAACAAGUUGGAGAGUAACUGCUCCAGCCUUGACGGUAUCUGACCAGAAAGCCACGGCUAACUACGUGCCAGCCGCUGC